CAUAACCUGAGGUGUUCGAUUCUUAAUUUUGAACCUACAGUUACUUUAAACGGGAUUCCUAUAUCCUCAUGUAGAUGUCAGGCCAUCUUGCAAUGGAAGGCAGAAGCAUGUAUGCGGUCACCCACCUAGAUUCGUUCUAGGAGUCAAAAAAGAGUCGGCAUUUCGGGGCUUAU
rnacentral:other from 1 species